AAAAUGACAAACCAUGAAUUUCCGUGUCUAACUUUGAUUGUCCGUCUUAUAUGAAAUUUUUUUAUAAUUCGUAUUUUCAUUAUUGUUAGAUGAUAAAACAUGAUUAAUAUUUUAUGCGUGACUUGUCUUUUUAAUUUUUUUCAUAAUUUUUUUAAAUAAGACGGACGGUCAAACGUUGGGCACGGAAACCAGGGUUUGUCUUUUU
rfam:Oryza sativa Japonica Group DNA, chromosome 7, cultivar: Nipponbare, complete sequence.